AAAACCAUGCAAUUACAUGGAAAUGAAACAACAUGCUCCUGAAUGACUUUUGGGUAAAUAAUGAAAUUAAGGCAGAAAUCAAUACGUUCUUUGAAACUAAUGAGAACAAAGAUACAACAUACCAGAAUAUCUGAGGCACAGCUAAGGCAGUGUUAAGAAGGAAAUUCAUAGCUUAACCUGAAGGAAAUCAAGACACAAAACAUGAUCUCAGAACUUGAAGGUAGGCUCUCUGAAAUAUGACAGUCAAAAAAAAAAAUAAAUAAAAUUUAAGAAAAGAAUAAAAAGAAAUGAACAAAACCUCUGAGAAGUAUGGAAUUAUGUAAAGAGGUCUAAUCUAUGAAUUACUGGCAUCUCUGAAAAAGAAGAGAAUUCAUUCAAAAGUUCAACUAAUGCAAGAGUUGGUUUUUUGAAAAAAAAAUAAGAUAGGCUGCUAGCUAGACUAAUGAAGAAAAUAGAGAAGAUGCAAAUAAACACAAUUAGAAAUGAUGAAGGAAACGUUACCACUGACCCCAUAGAAAUAAAAAAUAACCAUCGGAAACUACUAUGAACACCUCUAUGCACACCAACUGGAAAAUCUAAAAGAGAUGGAUCCAUUUCUGGACACAUACACCCUCCCAAGACUGAACCAGGAAGAAGUUGAUUCCCUGAAUGACCAAUAUCUAGCUCUGAAAUUGCAUCAGUAAUAAAUACUCUAUCAACCAAAAAAAGCCUAGUACCUGAUGGAUUCCCAGCCAAAUUCUACCAGAUGUACAAAGAAGAACU
rnacentral:lncRNA from 10 species